rnacentral:rRNA from 1 species
AACGAACGCUGGCGGCAGGCCUAACACAUGCAAGUCGAGCGCCCCGCAAGGGGAGCGGCGGACGGGUGAGUACCGCGUGGGAAUAUGCCCUUUGCUACGGAAUAGUCUCGGGAAACUGGGGGUAAUACCGUAUACGCCCUUUGGGGGAAAGAUUUAUCGGCGAAGGAUUAGCCCGCGUUGGAUUAGGUAGUUGGUGGGGUAAUGGCCUACCAAGCCGACGAUCCAUAGCUGGUUUGAGAGGAUGAUCAGCCACACUGGGACUGAGACACGGCCCAGACUCCUACGGGAGGCAGCAGUGGGGAAUCUUAGACAAUGGGGGCAACCCUGAUCUAGCCAUGCCGCGUGAGUGAUGAAGGCCUUAGGGUUGUAUAGCUCUUUCAGCUGGGAAGAUAAUGACGGUACCAGCAGAAGAAGCCCCGGCUAACUCCGUG